CAUAAAUCACCAGGCCAGCAGACUCACCUCCAGGGUGGGGAAGUCUUAAACCUUCCCCCGCCAUGUACCCCACAGAGUACGUUAUUCAAGGACAGGCACCUCUAAUGACCAUCAGCACCCUGGGGGACCGUGUGGGGAGUGGGGCACACAAGGACCUGUAUGACUGAUGACAGACUCUUCCUCUGUGACACGCAUCACAGUUGUGAUUAAAUAAGUUUGGGUAAGGAUGAUUGGCACAUGGAUGGCUUGGAUGAAGGGAGCCCCCUGAUCUUUAACUUGCAGGUCACAUGGAGAAAACUUUGCAAAAAUGCUCCAACAUGGAGAUGUCAACUUGAGUGACAGCCCUGUGCGAGGUGCCUUGCUCCGGCUGCCUUCUUUACAUGCAUGGCUUCACAGAAAUGAUGACUGCCAUUUGAACAGAAAGACAUCCUUCCCAACCGGGGUCAGGAAACUGACAGGGCCCACCCAUUAAUAGAAAUAACUGUCAUUUAAAAUAAAAUGCUUG
rnacentral:lncRNA from 1 species